UGCCAGGCGGGGUGUUUGAGUUAGGUGUCCUAAGGCCAGCUCAGCGAGGACAGAAAGCUCGCGUGGAGCAAAAGGGCAAAAGCUGGCUUGAUUCAGAUGUUUAGUAUGCAUAGGGAGUGCGAAAGCGCGUUCUAUCGAUCCUUUAGUGUAAAGAGUUUUCAGUUAUAA
rnacentral:ncRNA from 1 species